rnacentral:misc_RNA from 1 species
AAGUCGUAACAAGGUUUCCGUAGGUGAACCUGCGGAAGGAUCAUUAACACGUAUCCAAACGUAAAAAACCCCCCCCCGUGAACAUUCAAUCCUGCUCUUGUAACCCGCGUAGUUUGCGAUCUCUGGUAAAUCAUAGCCCGAUUAAACUGUGGGUUAUAAGGGGGCAUGGGGACCCUUUGGCAUAGCUCCUGCCCGAGUGUACGGUCUACAGGAAUCGUUGAAGCGCUAUCCUUGCACAAUCAGUGACACUUUCAGACACUAACUGCUUGGGGAAACAAUGCCUAUGAAACUACCGCUCGAUUGUAACUGUUCCAAUGUUCUCACGUAGCCAGAGGUCUCUGAAUCAAAACUACUUUCGUGAACCUCAAUGUAAUACAUUGGGUAAAAAAACCGAACAACUGUUAACAAUGCAUAUCUUGGUUCUC